rnacentral:rRNA from 1 species
CCUACGGGUGGCAGCAGUGAGGAAUAUUGGUCAAUGGACGCAAGUCUGAACCAGCCAUGCCGCGUGCAGGAAGACGGCUCUAUGAGUUGUAAACUGCUUUUGUACGAGGGUAAACGCAGAUACGCGUAUCUGUCUGAAAGUAUCGUACGAAUAAGGAUCGGCUAACUCCGUGCCAGCAGCCGCGGUAAUACGGAGGAUUCAAGCGUUAUCCGGAUUUAUUGGGUUUAAAGGGUGCGUAGGCGGUCGGAUAAGUUAGAGGUGAAAUCCCGAGGCGCAACUUCGGAAUUGCCUCUGAUACUGUGCGGCUAGAGAGUAGUUGCGGUAGGCGGAAUGUAUGGUGGAGCGGUGAAAUGCUUAGAGAUCAUACAGAACACCGAUUGCGAAGGCAGCUUACCAAGCUACUUCUGACGUUGAGGCACGAAAGCGUGGGGAGCAAACAGGAGUAGAUACCCCUGUAGUC